CGCGGAGUAGGCUAAUCAGAAAACCGUCGGCCCCCUAAGCCGGUAUUGCUGGUGCGAAUCCAGCCUCCGCAACCA
rnacentral:tRNA from 1 species